rfam:Bacteroidetes bacterium GWF2_42_66 gwf2_scaffold_1713, whole genome shotgun sequence.
CCCGGGGCGUUGCCCCGGGCUAAAUUAUACUGUCCCUUCAGGACG